rnacentral:rRNA from 1 species
AGAGAGAGACAUGCGCGCAUAUCAAUAAGCGGAGGAAAAGAAACUAACAAGGAUUCCCUUAGUAACGGCGAGUGAAGCGGGAAGAGCUCAAAUUUGAAAUCUUCAAGGGUUUACCUUUACGAAUUGUAGUUUAAAGAAGUGUUUUCUGUUGAGGUUUCGGUAAAAGUUCUUUGGAAUAGGACAUCAUAGAGGGUGAGAAUCCCGUAUUUGACCUUUACUUUCAACUUUGUGAUACAGCUUUCAAAGAGUCGGAUUGUUUGGGAAUGCAGUCCAAAAUGGGUGGUAAAUUUCAUCUAAAGCUAAAUAUUGGCGAGAGACCGAUAGCGAACAAGUACCGUGAGGGAAAGAUGAAAAGAACUUUGAAAAGAGAGUUAAACAGUACGUGAAAUUGUCAAAAGGGAAGCGUUUGACACCAGUGUUGUUUUUCUGAAAAUCAAUUAAAGAACUGUUUAUGCUAAGUUGUUUAGACUUUAUCAGCUAACUGUUUAGUUUUGAGCUUUUCUUUAAUGCACUUUUCAGUUAACAAGUCAACAUCAAUUUCUUUUGCUGUAAAAAAGCUUGAGGAAGGUGGCUUGAGAUUCGUCUUAAGUGUUUAUAGCCUCUUGCCUAUGCAGUCGGAGAGAUUGAGGUCUGCAGCGUAGAUCCUUCGGGGCUAAAUGCAUUUGUGCUAAGUUAUAGCAUUUUAUAGACAACUUGUUGACUAUGAUUUGUCUUGUAGCUUACUCGCUUAUGUUAUUUUACCUACGCUUAGGAUGUUGAGCGCAUGUCUCUCUCU